GGACGGGUGAGUAAUGCCUGGGAAAUUGCCCUGAUGUGGGGGAUAACCAUUGGAAACGAUGGCUAAUACCGCAUAAUAGCUUCGGCUCAAAGAGGGGGACCUUCGGGCCUCUCGCGUCAGGAUAUGCCCAGGUGGGAUUAGCUAGUUGGUGAGGUAAUGGCUCACCAAGGCGACGAUCCCUAGCUGGUCUGAGAGGAUGAUCAGCCACACUGGAACUGAGACACGGUCCAGACUCCUACGGGAGGCAGCAGUGGGGAAUAUUGCACAAUGGGCGCAAGCCUGAUGCAGCCAUGCCGCGUGUAUGAAGAAGGCCUUCGGGUUGUAAAGUACUUUCAGCAGUGAGGAAGGCGGAGUCGUUAAUAGCGGCCUCGUUUGACGUUAGCUGCAGAAGAAGCACCGGCUAACUCCGUGCCAGCAGCCGCGGUAAUACGGAGGGUGCGAGCGUUAAUCGGAAUUACUGGGCGUAAAGCGCAUGCAGGUGGUUUGUUAAGUCAGAUGUG
rnacentral:rRNA from 1 species